CUUACUCAUGCUUUAAAACUGCCAUAUGAUAUCAGCAUCGCAUACCUUGUAGCUGCAUGUAAUGAUUUUUGCCAAAGGCAACAUACCGAACCGAGCUUCACCCACCCAGAGGAGUCACUGAGUCCGAGCACUGCAUCAACCAUCCAGCAAAGGAAUUGAAGACGUGAGAGAUGGAAGAAACAAUUGGUCAUCUAAUCUCUUUUUCUAUUUUUGCCUGUCUUGUUGCCAGGGAGAUAUUGUAUUAAAAGGAGUGGCCUACACAGUCACUUCACUUACAAGCUGCCUCACUGUAAAAACAGCAUUUAAAAAUAAAGUUAAAAAAUACUUGCAGAC
rnacentral:lncRNA from 1 species